rnacentral:ncRNA from 1 species
GUUUCAGGGCGGGGUGAAAUUCCCCACUGGCGGUAAAUCGGGCGGUGUCAAAGGGGCGCCGUGGAGCAGGUAAAGUGCCUGCGACCGAGCCGAUGAGUCCGCGACCCGUGUGUGCGUUGGUUCGCAUGCCGGCUGAACUGGUGAGAUUCCAGUACCAACGGUUAGAGUCCGGAUGAAAGAGGC